GUCCUGAGCUUUGUGGCUGAGUGCUAGGUCCAAAGUUUUGUGGCCGAGUGCUAGGUCCCAAGCUUUGUGGCUGCGUUCUAGGUCCCAAGCUUUGUGACUGAGUGCUAGGUUCCAAGCUUUGUGGCUGAGUGCUAGUGCCCAAGUUUCGCGGCUGAGUUCUAGGUCCCAAGCUUUGUGGCUGAGUGCCAG